UUCAGAAAUAGAAAUCAACUCCCUCUCUCUCCCCUUCACUCCGCCAAUUACUCCCCCUCCCACCACCAGCCACUAAUCUCCAUUCAGAAAGCCUAAUUUCACGAUUUCAGUCCCCCACCACCUCUACACCGCACAUCAGGCGAAUUCAGUCCGCAUCCACUUCGCGUUUCAGCUAAUUGGCGACCACCAGCCGAUUAUCGGCGUCUGCCUGUACAUCAUACAUAGGUUUUGUGGCGACAAGAGGGUAUUUGCUUGGCGAAACGAAGGAAUUUAUUCUAUUGUAAAUUUCUCCGACUACACCUAGGUAAAUUUCCGAGUUAUUCUGUUGAUAGUCUUGUUUUACAAUUUUACUCUGUUUCUGGGUGAAUGUUGCAAAUGUAUUCUGAUUUUAGGGAUUUUUUUUCAAUUGUACUAAGUUGUGCUGGUUAUAUAUGUGAUACUGAUAUUGCAGUACUGCUGGUUAUAUAUUGCAGUGUAUCAUUUACAAUAUUGCAGUAUUGUUUAUCACCAAAUAUUGCAGUGCAUCAUUGUACCCUAUCUUGCAUUUAUGUGUAUUGUGAUGUGCAUCUUGGAAUUCUAGUUUCAUAUAUAAUGUUGUUACAAAUUUGUUUAGUUGCAUGCCCAAACUAUACUGAGUUGUGCUGGUUAUAUAUGGGAUACUAAUAUUGCAGUAUUGCUAGUUAUAUAUUGCAGUGUAUCAUUUACAAUAUUGCAGUAUUGGUUAUCACCAAAUAUUGCAGUGCAUCAUUUACAAUAUUGCAGUGCAUCGUGUGUAUUGUAAUGUGCAUCAUUGGUUAAAUGAUUGCUAGUAUUGUAUGUGAAGUACCCAUAUUGCAUUCCAUGAUAGUAGGUCUUGCAAUCUUAAGUGCAUAUAUUUGCAGUUUCGUCAGGGCAUACCAUUACGAGCAUAUUCAUGUGUCUAACUUAUGCGUUGCAUUCUACUAAACUAAAUCUUGCCGUUUUGUGUUACGAGAUUUGCAUUUCACAUCAUAUGGAGACAUAUAUGGGCACGAAGGUCAGCGAAUGGAAAUGCUACCUAACAAACAAGAAAUCAAAAUUCUUGCAGCUGCUUCGUGGCAAAUACUGUAAAAUACAACAAUGUUGUAUAACAACGACAUUCUUGUAAUUGACUCUAUCAUGAGUAUUGCAUCAAAGCACCUCGAGGAGGGGAAAAAGAGGGGACCGAUAGAUGUUGAGAAGAUGGUCACGAACUACAACAAACAGUGACCGAUUAUUGAACAUUUUUUUUCUUCUUCAAACAUGGAGUUUGGCUUCUUUAUUGGUUUUUUUUUUGUAGAUGAUAUGAUUGAUAUUUUGAUUUGGUGACUACUCGUACUUAAAACAAGUCGGUUUUAUUUUGGUGUAGCCAAUCUUGGUGAUGUAAUUUGAAUGUUCUUUGUUACGUACUUGUUUGAUCUCCUGUAA